UGAAGAGAAAAAAAAAAAAAAAAAAGGGUGAGGUAUCAUAGAGAGUUUAGUCUGUGAGAAAAAAUAGAUAGUGUGAGUAAUAUUGUAGUGAGGUGGAAAAAUCAAAAGAGAGAUAUUUUUAUUGAGUGUGUAGUGAUCUUAAAGUAUUUUACUCAGACUACAAGUGUAAAAUCCCUUACAAUAAUGAUAUCAGUUGCUCCUCUCGGUUCGUGGUUUUUUCCUUAUUGGAUUUUUAUGUAAAAAUCUUCAUAUCAUUAUCGCUCUUGUUGUUCUUAUUGAUUACCCAUAUUGUUGUUGUUUUCGUAUUUAUUGCAUUUAUUACUGCAAAUAUUAUUAUUGUGACGGGAUUUAU
rnacentral:lncRNA from 1 species